UUCACAUCCUCCUAGUGUUGUGACUUACAAUAUUUUAAUCAAUUGUUUGUGCAAGCAUGGGCUUCUGGAUCGUGCAAUUGACUUUUUCACUCAGAUGGUCUCUGAAAACUGUACACCUGAUAUAAUCACAUAUAAUACACUUCUACGUGCUCUUUGUAAGGAGGCAAUGGUGGAAGAGGCCAUCCAAAUUGUUCAUUGUUUAGGUGAUAGCAGUUGUUCUCCUAGUAUAAUCACUUACAACAUAGUCAUUGAUGGCCUUGCGAAGCUUGGUUUUAUGGAGAAGG
rnacentral:misc_RNA from 1 species